GACGAACGCUGGCGGCGUGCUUAACACAUGCAAGUCGAACGGAAAGGCCCCUUUGGGGGUACUCGAGUGGCGAACGGGUGAGUAACACGUGAGUAACCUGCCCUUGACUUCGGGAUAACUUCAGGAAACUGGGGCUAAUACCGGAUAGGAAUCCUUGCUGCAUGGUGGGGGUUGGAAAGCUUCGGCGGUUUUGGAUGGACUCACGGCUUAUCAGCUUGUUGGUGGGGUAGUGGCUUACCAAGGCUUUGACGGGUAGUCGGCCUGAGAGGGCGACCGGCCACAUUGGGACUGAGAUACGGCCCAGACUCCUACGGGAGGCAGCAGUGGGGAAUAUUGCACAAUGGGCGGAAGCCUGAUGCAGCAACGCCGCGUGCGGGAUGACGGCCUUCGGGUUGUAAACCGCUUUCAGCAGGGGCGAAGCUUGUGGUGACGGUACCUGCAGAAGAAGCACCGGCUAACUACGUG
rnacentral:rRNA from 1 species